UACGAAGGGGGCUAGCGUUGCUCGGAAUCACUGGGCGUAAAGCGCACGUAGGCGGAUUGCUAAGUCAGGGGUGAAAUCCUGGAGCUCAACUCCAGAACUGCCUUUGAUACUGCAAAUCUCGAGUCCGGAAGAGGUGAGUGGAAUUCCUAGUGUAGAGGUGAAAUUCGUAGAUAUUAGGAAGAACACCAGUGGCGAAGGCGGCUCACUGGUCCGGUACUGGACGCUGAGGUGCGAAAGCGUGGGGAGCAAACAGGG
rnacentral:rRNA from 1 species